CGGCCGGGAACUCAAAGGAGACUGCCAGUGAUAAACUGGAGGAAGGUGGGGAUGACGUCAAGUCAUCAUGGCCCUUACGAGUAGGGCUACACACGUGCUACAAUGGCGCAUACAAAGAGAAGCGACCUCGCGAGAGCAAGCGGACCUCAUAAAGUGCGUCGUAGUCCGGAUUGGAG
rnacentral:rRNA from 1 species